UUCAACGCCAUCGUUGUAAAUUUUUUUAAAAAAAAAUUGAAAAAAUCAGCUGACACAGACUCUUCAACGCCAAUGUGACUGGCGUUGUACCUUAUUUUAUUUUAUUUUUUUAAUUUUUAAAAAAAUAUAUAUAAUAAAUAGAAAAUUGGCACUCUUCAACGCCAAUUUGACUGGCGUUGUAACUUUUUUUUUUGAAAAUCUCACUUACAUUAAUCAAACCCUAAAAUAUUUACCCCUCCGCCGAUCUCACUUUCUCCUCCCCUCUUCUUCUUUUUUUCGUACUUUCUUUCCUUCAUCAAUCUUUUUACCCAUCCACACAUCCUUCUGUUUCUCCUCUCAUUUUUUUCCUUUUGUCCUUCAUAAAUCUUUCUUUAUUCUGUUUCUUUUCACUCUUUUCAUCCAUUUUUUCCAGUAAAUUUUCAUCUAUCUCCAUAAAUUUUGUUUAGAACACCCCUAAAUACUACUACCUCCGUUUUUAAAAUAUUGUCGUUUAAGGUUUUUGCACAUGGAUUAAAAAAGUAUCAUUCACCAAGUAAAAUUUGUUUCAAAUUUCAUCACUACCCAUUUAUGGGAAGUUGAAAACUAGUAAUACAAGAGAGAGAAUUUCUUGGGACAAUGAGAGAAGAUACGGG
rnacentral:lncRNA from 1 species